UACAGAGGGUGCGAGCGUUAAUCGGAAUUACUGGGCGUAAAGCGCACGUAGGUGGCGACGUAAGUUGGGUGUGAAAGCCCCGGGCUCAACCUGGGAAUUGCAUUCGAGACUGCAUUGCUGGAGUACGGAAGAGGAGGGCGGAAUUCCCGGUGUAGCGGUGAAAUGCGUAGAUAUCGGGAGGAACAUCAGUGGCGAAGGCGGCCCUCUGGUCCAGUACUGACACUCAAGUGCGAAAGCGUGGGGAGCAAACAGG
rnacentral:rRNA from 1 species